rnacentral:misc_RNA from 1 species
GGCAAAUACAGAAGUCCAAAUGAAAAAUAAGAUAAAAUACAUACUAGCGCCAACUAUUGACUUUUCAGAAACUCUUAGUGUUCCAAACAACUAAAGGGCCUUUUCUAUGAUAUUCACAUGGCUGAAAACCAUUCAUUGCCUUACCCAUGAGGGCCAUGGCACCAAGGCUUGGAAGUUGCUUCUUCUGGAAAUCAUCGAGCUCCAACUUUGAGGUUUGAGGCUCACAAACCACCACCGGUUGGGGCCUCUUUGGUGCAUUGGUAGUCCUAUCAUGAAGCAACCUUUGAAUCCAAGAAUGAGAAGUCAAAGCCUCUAGAUCUUUCUUGAUAACACUCAUAGAAGCAGUACUAGAGUUCAUUGCUAAGCUUGCAGUGU